AAAUAAAAAUUGUGCCGUUGUGAGUAGAGAGAAAAACGAUAGUGGCGUCGUAAGUAGAGAGAAAAACGAUAGUGGCGUCGUGAGUAGAGAGAAACGGUUCUAAAACUUUAGAAAUAUAUGGUAAGUUAGAUUGUGUUGUCAUUUAUUAGUUUUCACA
rnacentral:sRNA from 1 species